AUUGAACGCUGGCGGAAUGCUUUACACAUGCAAGUCGAACGGCAGCACGGGGCAACCUGGUGGCGAGUGGCGAACGGGUGAGUAAUACAUCGGAACGUGCCCAAUCGUGGGGGAUAACGUAGCGAAAGUUACGCUAAUACCGCAUACGAUCUACGGAUGAAAGCGGGGGACCGCAAGGCCUCGCGCGAUUGGAGCGGCCGAUGGCAGAUUAGGUAGUUGGUGGGGUAAAAGCUCACCAAGGCGACGAUCUGUAGCUGGUCUGAGAGGACGACCAGCCACACUGGAACUGAGACACGGUCCAGACUCCUACGGGAGGCAGCAGUGGGGAAUUUUGGACAAUGGGCGCAAGCCUGAUCCAGCAAUGCCGCGUGCAGGAUGAAGGCCUUCGGUUGUAACUGCUUUGUACGGUACGAAACGGUGAGCUCUAAUAAAGACUUGCUAAUGACGGUACCGUAAGAAUAAGCACCGGCCUAACUACGUGCCAGCAGCCGAC
rnacentral:rRNA from 1 species